CAGUACUCAGCUCGUUCGCAAGGCCUUGUGCCGGCGAAUGGCUCAUUCAAAUUUCUUCCCUAUCAACUUUCGAUGUUUGGGUAUUGGCCAAACAUGGUGGCAACGGGUAACGGAGGGUUAGGGCUCGACCCCGGAGAAGGAGCCUGAGAAACGGCUACUACAUCCAAGGAAGGCAGCAGGCGCGCAAAUUACCCAAUCCCGACACGGGGAGGUAGUGACAAUAAAUACUGAUACAGGGCUCUUUUGGGUCUUGUAAUCGGAAUGAGUACAAUUUAAAUCCCUUAACGAGGAACAAUUGGAGGGCAAGUCUGGUGCCAGCAGCCGCGGUAAUUCCAGCUCCAAUAGCGUAUAUUAAAGUUGUUGUGGUUAAAAAGCUCGUAGUUGAACCUUGGGCCUGGCUGGCCGGUCCGCCUCACCGCGUGCACUGGUCCGGCCGGGCCUUUCCCUCUGCGGAACCCCAUGCCCUUCACUGGGUGUGGCGGGGAAACAGGACUUUUACUUUGAAAAAAUUAGAGUGCUCAAGGCAGGCCUAUGCUCGAAUACAUUAGCAUGGAAUAAUAGAAUAGGACGUGUGGUUCUAUUUUGUUGGUUUCUAGGACCGCCGUAAUGAUUAAUAGGGACAGUCGGGGGCAUCAGUAUUCAAUUGUCAGAGGUGAAAUUCUUUGGAUUUAUUGAAAACUAACUACUGCGAAAAGCAUUUGCCCAAGGAAUGUUUUUCAUUAAUCCAAGAACAAAAGUUUAGGGAAUCGAAAACAAUCAAAUACCCGUCAUUAGCCUUCAACAAAAAACUA
rnacentral:rRNA from 1 species